rnacentral:rRNA from 1 species
AGUGGCGCACGGGUGAGUAACGCGUAUGCAACCUGCCUUUAACAGAGGGAUAGCCCAUAGAAAUGUGGAUUAAUACCUCAUAGUUCUUUUGGUUCGCAUGGACUGAAAGAUAAAGCUCCGGCGGUUAAAGAUGGGCAUGCGUGACAUUAGCUAGUUGGUGAGGUAACGGCUCACCAAGGCGACGAUGUCUAGGGGUUCUGAGAGGAUGAUCCCCCACACUGGUACUGACACGGACCAGACUCCUACGGGAGGCAGCAGUGAGGAAUAUUGGUCAAUGGGCGCAAGCCUGAACCAGCCAUCCCGCGUGCAGGAUGACGGCCCUAUGGGUUGUAAACUGCUUUUGUACAGGAAGAAAAAUCUCUACGAGUAGGGAACUGCCGGUACUGUACGAAUAAGCAUCGGCUAACUCCGUGCCAGCAGCCGCGGUAAUACGGAGGAUGCAAGCGUUAUCCGGAUUCAUUGGGUUUAAAGGGUGCGUAGGCGGCUCUUUAAGUCAGUGGUGAAAUCCUGCCGCUUAACGGUAGAAUUGCCAUUGAUACUGAAGAGCUUGAGUACAGUUGAGGUAAGCGGAAUGUGUAGUGUAGCGGUGAAAUGCUUAGAUAUUACACAGAACACCGAUUGCGAAGGCAGCUUACUAAACUGCAACUGACGCUGAUGCACGAAAGCGUGGGGAGCGAACAGGAUUAGAUACCCUGAUAGUCCACGCUGUAAACGAUGCUCACUCGCUGUAUGCGAUAUACCGUAUGCGGGCCGAGCGAAAGCAUUAAGUGAGCCACCUGGGGAGUACGAUCGCAAGGGUUGAAACUCAAAGGAAUUGACGGGGGCCCGCACAAGCGGAGGAACAUGUGGUUUAAUUCGAUGAUACGCGAGGA